GAUGAACGCUGGCGGCGUGCCUAAUACAUGCAAGUCGAGCGAAUGGAUUAAGAGCUUGCUCUUAUGAAGUUAGCGGCGGACGGGUGAGUAACACGUGGGUAACCUGCCCAUAAGACUGGGAUAACUCCGGGAAACCGGGGCUAAUACCGGAUAACAUUUUGAACCGCAUGGUUCGAAAUUGAAAGGCGGCUUCGGCUGUCACUUAUGGAUGGACCCGCGUCGCAUUAGCUAGUUGGUGAGGUAACGGCUCACCAAGGCAACGAUGCGUAGCCGACCUGAGAGGGUGUUCGGCACCACUGGGACUGAGACACGGCCCAGACUCCUACGGGAGGCAGCAGUAGGGAGUCUUCCGCAAUGGACGAAAGUCUGACGGAGCAACGCCGCGUGAGUGAUGAAGGCUUUCGGGUCGUAAAACUCUGUUGUUAGGGAAGAACAAGUGCUAGUUGAAUAAGCUGACACCUUGACGGUACCUAACCAGAAAGCCACGGCUAACUACGUGCCAGCAGCCGCCGUAA
rnacentral:rRNA from 1 species